GACAGAGGGUGCAAACGUUGUUCGGAAUUACUGGGCGUAAAGCGCGUGUAGGCUGCUCUGUGUGUCGGAUGUGAAAGCCCCGGGCUCAACCUGGGAAGUGCACUCGAAACUACAGAGCUGGAGUCUCGGAGAGGAUCGCGGAAUUCUCGGUGUAGAGGUGAAAUUCGUAGAUAUCUGGAGGAACACCGGUGGCGAAGGCGGCAUCCUGGACCAACACUGACACUGAGGAGCGAAAGCCAGGGGAGCAAACGGG
rnacentral:rRNA from 1 species